CUUCAGGACUGGACUCUCUCUCUGGAUGCAUCUUGUGUUUCCCACCGGCAGCCCACUGUGCCACUCGAGAGCCACACUCAGCUUUGUGGGGAAAGUGCCUGUACUUUUGGAGGUGGAGGAUGUUAAUUCCAUUCCUGCCAUUGCCCCAAUAUGACAGCAGUGAAGAUGCUACAUGCCCACAGAUUAGUUACACUGAUCCCAAAACAAGAGAGAAUGGAACUGAAGGCUCCGUGAGAAGGUACACAAUGUGCAUCUUCUCUUUAGCAAGCUGCUUCUGAAUUGAACCCCAAAUCAGAUGCUCGCCCACACCAGUUCUCCUUUUCCUCCAUUUCAAAGCACUUGUUAUUCUGAAGGAAUUUUAUCUUUUUCUUUAAAUGACGACACUUUCCAAGGUGGCAGAUUGUGUGGAGGCACAAAGGAUUCACAUUUUAUCCAUGAUCCAAGGGGAGAUCCAAACAAGGCUCUAACAUUCACUAAACACGGUUUUUCAUCUCAGCGUCUCAUCUCUGGCAUAUGUCCUCUAGCAAAAUCAUUGGAUCCUGUCACAGGCAGGCUCACCUUGAACUGAUAUAUGGCUAAAGAGAAUCAAUGUGGAAUGAAUGAAAAUGUUUACACUGUGACUUAAGCCUUUUAUCACUUGUGUGUGCUUGGGGGAUUGUCUUUUUUUUUUUUUUUUUUAAAAAGAGUGAUUGGCACUGAAUCUUCACUCACUCAAAUUCAGAAUACUACUAAAAAUACAGAUGAAUAUUUUCAAAAAUAGAAGCCUAAAAUUAGGAGCCUAAGGCUGGGAUUUUCAUAAGACCCCAAGGAGUUAGAUGCCCAUAUCCCACUGAUAAAUUCAAGGCAGAAAAUUGCAGCCUAAAUCCAUAGUUAGGCACCUAAAUGACUUUUAAAGUCAUCCUCCUAUUUUUGAAAAUCUUGGGCACAAGUAUAAGCAGCACAGAGAAUAUUGGGCAUAUGAUUUCAUCUUUGCAGGCUGGAGUUAUUAUGCAGAGAGGGAAGAUGAGGCAAAAGCAACAAUAGCACUUAUAGAAGCUAUGCUUUCUGUGCAAACAUCUACUCUUCUGACCUCAUAGCGUGAGCCCACUUCUACCACUGUUUUUAGUGUAGAUGUUUUUCCCUUAGAAAAAAAAAAAGACUGCCUUGAUGGUGCAUGCAGUUGGCUUUUGUAGGUUGAAUAACAGUGUCUGCCUCUUGACAUGCUCCACUAACUCCUUCUAAGUUUUGCUGCAAUGGAGAAUUUUGUUAUGGCUUGUUCUGGGAGGGUACCCUAAAAGCUCAAGUUAGCCUCAAACUUCAAAGCUGUCAGUCUUCAUUAGAUCAUGUCAUUUUCCCUGGGGGGUUAUUGUGAGUAUUUGUGUUAAUGUUAGGAGCUGCUAGAUUCAGUGUGAACUUAUCCACACUGGACUGUGCUGUUAAUAACCUUUCUCUUUGCCUGCAGGGGGAAGGGGUCUCCAUGUUUCUCUCUCUCUCUUUCCAGGGACAGAAAAUUUUGCCUGUUUAUUUGCAUAGUCUUAGACUUUCCCUAAAUUGAUUGCUGAAUGGUGUUAGAUUCAAGGUGCCCACUUCAUUCAGUGGGUUACUGAUGGCAGGUGAACGGAGAUUUCCAGACUAUUAUAAUGGUGAGGUUCUCCAAUAUAAGUGUUAUGUUCCUUGCAUGGGAACAGACAGACCUGGACUGAUUCACAAUCUUUCUCUUGCUCUUUGGUCAGACAAGGGGUGGGCAUGCUGGAAAUCUGUGUUGGUUAUCUGAUUUGUGGUGCAUUGGGGAGCUGCUACUUUUCUGUUGUGGCUGUCAUCUUGUACCCUUGGACCUAAACUUUCAUUUAAACCAAUUAAGUCUCUAAUUGCUAUGGUUGUGGAUGUAAGCAAAGUCAGGAUGAGCUCCACCCUGACAUCUGGUGGUGAGGUGUGGCAAGUUGUGGAAAAGAACUUCAGGGGCUGAUCUCAUUUGCAUAGGCACACCCACCCCGCCUAGAAUGAGGCCAUAACUGCCCAAAUGGUCACUUUGGCUGUUGUGGGAUCCCCAGUGUCUCUGUUAUUGGGGCGGGAAGAAUAAAUUGUUAUUACCCUGAUUAUGGGAACUGUGCUUGGAACUGUACUUGGCCUUUUGUUAUGAUGGAGGGACUCACCAUCAACUAAGUAGCACUCGCUAGGCAAGGGACAUGUGUUCCAAAACUCUGUGAAUUGAGAGAGGCUUGAGACAGGUAUUAGUACCUGGUGGUGUGGACCCCUUUGUGAGGGCCUGAAAUACCAAUUGCACCUCUCUCCCCCUCCCCCUCCCCCUCCACUGUGGAAUGUCAGAGCUAAUUUUGGGUCUAUUAAGAGUCUUGCUACAGGUACUGUGCUGAAUUCACUUUGGCCUUAUGGUGCACCAGCACUAAGGCUCCCACUUCUAUGAGCUGAAAUCACUGAGAGCUGGAAUCACUGAGCACUGUGUCAAGUAGUGGGGAGCUGGAAGAUGUAGAGUGCAGUGGUGCUGUUCGUGGAUAGGCUGGCGGAGUGUUCGUGAGCUGUGCAGAGCGGAGCCGUUCGUGAGACAGUGGAGUGUUCGUGAGACGGCGAGGUGAGCUGUGCAGAGCGGAGCUGUUCGUGAGACGGUGGAGUGUUCGUGAGACGGCGAGGCGAGCUGUGCAGAGCAGAGCUGUUCGUGAGACGGUGGAGUGGAGUGUUCGUGAGAUGGCAAACUGUGCAGAGCGGAGCCGGUUGUGGUGGAGCGGAGCCGUUCGUGAGACGGCGGAGCGGAGCAGAGCCCUGUGGGGCAGUCAGCUUCAGGACACUUUUUGUUGCCACGUUAAAUUGUGGCCUUGAGGAAUGGGAACUCUAAAUUCUUUACUGCUGCCUGAAAAGCAUAUUCAAGUGGAUCCCAGUGAUGAGAAAAACCUCCAGAAGCUUGAAGUCCAGGUUCUUAGCCAAAAUUCAUCUGAACAUUUUAAGAUCACCUCUCCUUCUGCCUUAGAACAGCCUUUAAAGGUUUGCUCUUCCUAUUGCUGGCACUACUCUCCAGAGCAGUAGCACUGAGCUCACCAUUGCCCUCUGACACCCAGGAGAUUUUCAGUGUACAAAUCACCAGACUCUGGGCCUGAUUCUCCACUGCCUUAAAUCUUGUGUGGUCAUUUAUACGUGUAGCAUGCAGGAGUAAAAUGCUACCACAUGGAAUGGAUGGUGUUAGAUUUCAGGUCCUCCUCUUCUUGUUGUCGUAUGAGACUGUUUCAGCCAUGGAAUGAUCUUCUCUGGAAAAUAAGAGAAUACUUGUUUGCAGUGAGAACGGCAUGUUCUGGGAUUGAAUGAAGGCAUCCUGGGUUUAUGAAGUGAUUUAUGGGCUAGGAAAAUGCAGACAUGACUUCACAUCCUCUGUGGCAGAGGAGACGGAGGCUCCCUUUGUGUCCUUCACAGGUGAUGAUGUGAGCUAACGCUAUGGUGUCACACUGUGAGGUUUCUGUGGCACAGAAGCAAUCAUGUGACUCAUCAGCGAUAUGAUAGUGGAGGGUGAAGGGCUUAUUGACCACAGAUCUUGCACUGAGCAGCUAGGAAAGUGUAGCAGCGAGUGUUCUCCCGUAUGCCCUAGGCAACUGUAGGAGGUAUUGAGCCUUGCUGCAGAACAAUGCAUCCAGAUUGCCUGCUGAACAAAUGAAUCUCCCUCUGCUCCCAACAGAGGCCAGAGCCUUAGAGGCACAAAUGAACCCUAUGUAUAUUUAUAGGAUAUCAGAUCGGCUUUGACAAUUUGUAAUUCAUCACUCACCACAAAUUUCAUAUAAAUGUAAUUAAAAUCUAAAUAUGAGAAAAAUGCUAAUGUGAUCACAUAUUGCUAUAUGAUUUGGUAAGCAAGUAGAUGAAAAUACAUGCACAGAUUUUAGGCUUUAUGAUGUCCAACUGACCAAGUAGUGUAAUUUAAUUUCAGCUCAUAGUUAGCUACUAAGAGGAUAACAGAAGUCUGAAAUACAUAAUCUCAAAUUGCCUCUUGAACAGGACUUACUGCUUUUUUUCUAUGAAGGAAGCUGUAAAAUAAAAAAAAGUGAUGGUU